CUGACUAGUUCCUAAAACAAGUUAAAUCUUUCUUUUUGGGACAAUUCCAUCAGUGGGGCAGAUGAGCAUGCUUCUCUGACAACUGUGGCUUUCACAGGCCCGACUGUUGGGCCAUGUCCCACUUGGUUCCUCACGGCCCCUAGCAGCAGCCCUGUUAUGCUUGGCUGGGCUUCUGGCUGGUGAGGAGAUGAGCUCUGUCUUCCCAGAUCUUGGGGAGGAAGAGAAUCACAUCCACACCCCCACCCACAGCCGCCUGUGCGUGGCUGUGAUGGAAAUUGGUUCCUCAUCCAACAGAUCUCAAUGGAGAUUGGAAAGUGCUGGUCGGAGGAGGGAGUUGUGUCAUUGUUGGUACGUGGAUGGAAGCCAGGCUACCAAUGAGACUACAGUCUUCCCAUCAACCUUGCUUUCCACCAGACGGGAGGACAAUGCCAGCUGCAGAGAGCUUGGGCACUAUCUGCCUUGGAUGGACCGAGUUUCAUCAGAUGAGUGUCCUGGAGGUGGAUCCUAGAUGGCCAGACAGUGGAAGCCCGAGAAGUAGCUGGAGUAUGAGAAAAUGCAUUAGGAGAAUUCCGCUUCAAGAGCUCUACACGGGGCCCCUGGCUGAGGGUCAGCGACGCAGUGUCGGCAUUUGUACUCAUCCAAGAAACCGCGUAGGCGUGAGUUUCAGCAGCGACACUCUGCCGUGGUAGGAAUGCGUGGCAGAGAGAGUCCCUGGCAACUGUCAGCUGAACAGACUCCAGUUCCUCCAGGCCUGGUGUGUGAGAGGGCCUAUUUUUGGUUUUACCUGGCCUGCUCCCAGGGCUUUGGGACAAUUUAUUGGGAAGGGAGGAAACCUUCGGAGGGAGAUGCUGGGCUUCCUGCUCUUAUUGGAGGUGAGUGCUGAAGAGAUUAAUUGGAAAAAUAAGUGGAAUGUGACCACAUUUGAGCUCUGAAUUUAUGGAGCGGUUCAUACCAGUUAUACUAAUUAUCCCACAGGGCAUUGUGAAAUACUAAGAGAGAUUUGGUCUUAAUUAACUUUUGUUCUUAGGAUUACAGGAUGAAUAGCUCUUUUGAGGGCAAGGGAGAGUCUGUUUCCUGGGCAUGGAGGUGGUGAAGAAAAAGGUACAUUUGGGAUCUAGACAGAAGUUCUGUCAAGGGAGUAGUGGGAGAAGAUGCAAAUACAGGUCACUUCUGGACCAUGGAAGGCCUUGGGGGCUUCGCUAAAGGGUCUGGAGUAGCUCCUGGCACACUGGGAGGAGUGAGUCUAUCUGGCUAUGCUGUAAGGGGUUUGGGGACUGAAAUAGCCAUGUUUCCUCAGGGCUGAGGCAGUCUCCAAGAUGGCCACCCACCUAGGCAUGCCAGCGCUGUCAGCCCUCAAACUCUUUAUCCACAGUCCGUUCUCAAAAAACAGCCAACGCGGCAGCUCCGGGUGGCCAGGAUUGCAACACCAGAUGUGUUUGUUCCCCGUGUUUGUGAAAUACCUCAGAGGCACCGUUCCAGUCCCACCUGACUAGUUUUCUGAUUGCCACACGGCGCUGGCUCUAUCUGCCAAUACUCAACCGGGGCUGACUGGUCAGAGAUUUCGAGAUGGUUGUGGGUUCAGAACUUAAGAGACCUCAUUUCUGUCUGCCCAAGUGAGCAGAUUUUUACCUUCCUGAAGCUUCUCAAUAGCACUUGUCAGGUUUGGAGGCAGCUCCGGUACCCUGCAGUUGACCUCUUGGGCCAGAUUCUUGACCUCUUCAAGCUUUCAUCUCUUCAACUGCAUGAGGAGGAUAAUAAUUCCUAUCUUGCAAGCUUGUAACCCACAAGUAUACCACCAAGUGGAAAAUCAGGGUACCAGCUCACCCCAGGCUUCCUGCCCCCAAAGGUCACUGAAAGCACAGUUCACCUCAAAUGUCUGAGUCGUUAAAAUUCAAUCUUGCAUUUAAUUCUUGCAAACGAAUAUACUGUCAAUCUUUGACUGAGAGCAGGACGAAGAGGCCUGACUAAUAUAUAACAUCGUGGGCAUUCAGAAGCCCCUGGACUUAAGAGGAUGGUUUGUGGUACUUACUCAGCCCAAGCAAGGAGGCUGCAAGAGGCAUGUGACCUUAUGCAUCAUUUCCUUCAUUGACCUCCUUCCAAUACCACAGGGGAAAAAACUCAAGUUGAGAGGGGAGGGGCUGACAAGUACUGGGCUUCUAUUUCAUGCCAAGCACCGAGAGAGUAAUUGUGCAUAUAUUUUCUCAUUUUGUCAUCUCCUCAACCCCAAGAAGUAAACAGCAGCACUGUCCCCAAAUAGCAAUCAGUCAUUUAAUAAAUAUUUAUGGAGUGAUUAUUAUUAUUAUUAU
rnacentral:lncRNA from 1 species